UGACCAGUGCCUCAUUUUACAGACC
rnacentral:piRNA from 1 species